rnacentral:lncRNA from 1 species
UUAAAUCACACAAAACUUGUAUAGAAAGCUUUAUAACAAGAUUACACUCAAUCUGGAAAAUUUUGAGCUAAAACCUCAUCAAAUUGUCUAAGAUAUAGCUCAAAUCACAAGCACAAAUAAUUCGGGCUACUUACUACCCUUAGAUAUCAAGCGCUGACUUCAGCUGCCAAUAUCUCCUUCAUAAAAGCUUGGAAUUCGAUAAAAAGUAUGCACAAACUGUAGCCGAAAAAGGUUUCUCUUCAAAUCCGGUCGCCGAU